UGUGUCUCCCACAGAAACCUGGGGUGCUGCAGGUGGGCUGUGUCGCAGCAAGACUUUGGCUUAAUGCAAACACCUGGCCAGGACAAAAGUUUGAUCCUACAAGAGCCAAGCAAUGCAGCAGCUCCAUCUCAUUGGCCAGAAGAUAAGCACUGCACGUGCAGAUCUCCCAGAUGUCCCAGGGCUUGGUCCAGGACCCUUCGUACACCCUCCGAAAGCCAGAUGUAAGGGAAAGGCUGCUCCAUGUGGUGCAUUGAACACGUUUCGUUUUGUGGGCCUCAGAUUGAGCAAAAAGGGCUGUCAGAGCAAGGCUGCAGGAUGCGGGUUCUGACCUUCACACCCUUCUCUCUCCUGUUCUCAUUGGUGAUGUGUGGUGAGGGGAGGCUCCUGCAGCGCCUGC